rnacentral:rRNA from 1 species
CCUACGGGUGGCAGCAGUGGGGAAUAUUGCACAAUGGGGGAAACCCUGAUGCAGCGACGCCGCGUGAGUGAAGAAGUAAUUCGUUACGUAAAGCGCUAUCAGCAGGGAAGAAAAUGACGGUACCUGAGUAAUAAGCCCCGGCUAACUACGUGCCAGCAGCCGCGGUAAUACGUAGGGGGCAAGCGUUAUCCGGAUUUACUGGGUGUAAAGUUAGCGUAAAUGGUGCGGCAUAUCUGGAGGGAAAUGCCGCAGUUUAACUGCGGGACUGCUUUGGAAACUGGCGAACUAGAGUGAGAGAGUGGUAAGCGGAAUUCCUGGUGUAGCGGUGAAAUGCGUAGAUAUUAGGAGGAACACCGGUGGCGAAGGCGGCUUACUGGACCGUAACUGACGCUGAGGCUCGAAAGCGUGGGGAGCAAACAGGAUUAGAUACCCUAGUAGUC